CCCAAAUCAGAAACUUUUUUUCCCCAAUUCCCAAUUCCCUUCCCGUCCCCUUCUCCUAAACCGACAUUCCCUUUCCCCAUUUCCCUUCCUUCUCCUUCCUUCUCAUUCCGUCACUAUUCAUCAUCAUUUUCAAACCCUUCUUUGCAUCCUCAAGACCUUCGAAACCCAUGCUCUUAUCCCGCCGUCCCUUGUCUUUGAUUUUCGAAGAAAUUGGGUUCUUCUUCCUUUGAAUUUCGAAAGGCUGUGUGAAAUCAAAGUAGCAUCGAAAUCCUUUCCCCUUAUCUCUGAUUUCUGCUGAGUUAGGGGAGAAGGAGUGAGCUUCAAUCUCAUGAUUAAACAUCCAAUUCAAACCGUGAAUCAAGCAUUAAGUCCGUUUUCGUCCUUGUUUCUGGUAGCUGAAUAGAAGGAGACGACGUCAUCGAAGAACCCUUCUAGUUGAUAGCUGGAUUCGUUACCUUGAAGCGACAUCGUCGCCUGAUUACAGAUCGGAACCGGUCGGGAACGAUGGGUUAGCGGUGUUGAAUAGUAUUCCAAGGAUGUAUUAUAAGCUGAGCACGUAGGAAUUUGUAGAUUUGUGUUACGAUUUUGGAUAAAUGUAUAUUUGUUUUGGCUAUGCUGGUUAUAUCGGACUUGUAGAGAAUUGUAUGAUUGUCUUGUGUUUUAGUUAGAUAUUGAUUUUGGGAUUUAGCUGAGUUAGUCACGUUGAAGAGCUUGUGACCCCUUUUGCUUGAGUUUUGGAAGUGUGAUUUCAAUUUCUUGGGAAACGAACCCAGUGAUGACCCUGUUUACCCAGUCAGCGGUAAGUCGGGUUGUUACACUUUUACCCUUUUCUAUCUUAGUUAUCUAUUCGGGUUUUUAGUUUCCUUUUGUUUUUCUUUUUUAUGAUUCAGUUACAAUUUUAAUGUGGUUUAUUUGUUAUAGAUGCCUUCCUAGGCGAGAAUGCGAGAUGUAUACCACUCACAUUUCUCUUUGUAGGGCCCAUCCUUUUAGGGGAUUAUUUGUGUGCGUGCAGUCCUCUGCGCCCUUUCCUUGUAGGGAGUACGGGUAUGGUCUGUCCGCUUCCUUCCUCUCCCAGACCCCGACCUAUGCAGGAUACUAGGUUGAUAACUAUGACUAUUACUAUGACUUUUAUGAUACAAUGUGUUUAGAGUUUAUAGACGAGUAAGGGGUGGGUGGGUAUGAGGUGAGGAUAGGGCGGUAUGAUGUAGCCUGUGGGUAUAGAGUGGCUAUGUGGUGGAUAUGGGGUAAGUAUAAGAUGGACAUGGCAUAUAGUGGGUGUGGAUAAUUUCGGAUAAAAACCUAUUUGAGUAGGCGUGGGUAUGAAAUUGUACCCGUCAUAGGCAGUAGAUAAAUGGUGGGUAUGAUAAUUUAUGGAAUAUUUUGAUAAGUAAUAAAAAUAUUUUCUAUUUCAAAUUACAACUGUUCAUGUUGAAAUUUUGCAACUUUCUCCCACUUUUUUUUUGGGAACUUGUACUAAUUUAUGCAUUUUAUGUAUUUUUUAAGCUUUUUUGGCACUUUCGCGCAUAAAAUAGCUCAAACUUAUUUUGUUUUGCAUGAAACAUGGCACACAACACUAUUUGGUAUAUAUUAUUGUGUUGAAGUUGUUAGAAUUGAAAAUAAUAGUCAUAUGCUAGAAAUUACGUGUUAAGUUGCGAUUUUAUGGGUUUAUAAGCUUUUUUGGCACUUUCGCGCAUAAAGUAGCUCAAACUUGAUUUGUUUUGCAUGAAACAUGACAUACAACACUAUUUGGUAUAUAUAUUAUUGUGUUGAAGUUGCUAGAAUUGAAAAUAAUAGUCAUAUGCUAGAAAUUACGUGUUAAGUUGCGAUUUUAUGGGUUUUUAAGCUUUUUCGGCACUUUCGCGCAUAAAGUAGCUCAAACUUGGUUUGUUUUGCAAGAAACUUUGCACACAGCACUAUUUGCUAUAUAUUAUUGUGUUAAAGUGGUUAGAAUUAAAAAUCAUCGUCAUAUGCUAAAAAUUACGUGUUAAGUUGCGAUAUUAUGGGUUUUUAAGCUUUUUUAGCACUUUCGUGCAUGAAGUAGCUCAAACUUGGUUUGUUUGGCACGAAACUUUACACACAAUACUAAUUGGUAUAUAUUAUUGUGUUUAAGUGGUUAGAAUUGAAAAUCAUCGUCAUAUGCUAGAAAUUACGUGUUAAGUUGCGAUUUUGUGGAUUUUUAAGCUUUUUUGGCACUUUCGCGCAUAAAGUAGAUCAAACUUGGUUUGUUUUGCAAGAAACAUUGCACACAACACUAUUUGGUAUAUAUUAUUGUGUUGAAGUGGUUAGAAUUGAAAAUAAUAGUCAUAUGCUAGAAAUUACGUAUUAAGUUGCGAUUUUAUGUGUUUUAAAACUUUUUUGGCACUUUCGCGCAUAAAGUAGCUCAAACAUGAUUUGUUUUGCACGAAACUUUGCACACAAAACUAUUUGGUAUAUAAUAUUGUGUUGAAGUGGUUAGAAUUGAAAAUCAUCGUCAUAUGCUACAAAUUACGUGUUAAGUUGCGAUUUUAUGGGUUUUUAAGAUUUUUUGGCACUUUUGCGCAUAAUAUAGCUCAAAUUUGGUUUGUUUUGCACGAACUUUGGCACACAAUACUAUUUGGUGUUUAUUAUGGUGUAGUGGUUAGAAUUGAAAAUAAUAGUCAUAUGCUAGAAAUUACGUGUUAAGUUACGAUUUUAUGCAUUUUUAAAGAUUUUUUGGCACUUUCGCGCAUAAAGUAGCUGAAAAUUGAUUUGUUUUGCAUGAAACAUGGCAACAACACUAUUUGGUAUAUAUUAUUGUGUUGAACUUGUUAGAAUUGAAAAUAAUAGACAUAUGCUAGAAAUUACGUGUUAAGUUGCGAUUUUAUGGGUUUUAAAACUUUUUUGGCACUUUCGCGCAUAAAGUAGCACAAACUUGGUUUGUUUUGCAAGAAACUUUGCACACAGCACUAUUUGGUAUAUAUUAUUGUGUUAAAGUGGUUAGAAUUAAAAAUCAUCGUCAUAUGCUAAAAAUUACGUGUUAAGUUGCGAUUUUAUGGGUUUUUAAGCUUUUUUAGCACUUUCACGCAUAAAGUAGCUCAAACUUGGUUUGUUUUGCACGAAACUUUACACACAAUACUAAUUGGUAUAUAUUAUUGUGUUGAAAUGGUUAGAAUUGAAAAUCAUAGUCAUAUGCUAGAAAUUACGUGUUAAGUUGCGAUUUUGUGGGUUUUUAAGCUUUUUUGGCACUUUCGCGCAUAAAGUAGAUCAAACUUGGUUUGUUUUGCAAGAAACAUUGCACACAACACUAUUUGGUAUAUAUUAUUGUGUAGAAGUGGUUAGAAUUGAAAAUAAUAGUCAUAUGCUAGAAAUUACGUAUUAAGUUGCGAUUUUAUGGGUUUUUAAACUUUUUUGGCACUUUCGCGCAUAAAGUAGCUCAAACAUGAUUUGUUUUGCACGAAACUUUGCACACAAAAAUAUUUGGUAUAUACUAUUGUGUUGAAGUGGUUAGAAUUGAAAAUCAUCGUCAUAUGCUAUAAAUUCUGUGUUAAGUUGCGUUUUUAUGGGUUUUUAAGAUUUUUUGGCACUUUUGCGCAUAAUGCAGCUCAAACUUGGUUUGUUUUGCACGAAAUUUGGCACACAAUACUAUUUGGUGUAUAUUAUUGUGUAGUGGUUAGAAUUGAAAUUAAUAGUCAUAUGCUAGAAAUUACGUGUUAAGUUGCGAUUUUAUGCAUUUUUAAAGAUUUUUUGGCACUUUCGCGCAUAAAGUAGCUCAAACUUGAUUUGUUUUGCAUGAGACAUGGCAACAACACUAUUUGGUAUAUAUUAUUGUGUUGAAGUUGUUAGAAUUGAAAAUAAUAGUCAUAUGCUAGAAAUUACGUGUUAAGUUGCAAUUUUAUGGGUUUUUAAACUUUUUUGGCACUUUCGCGCAUAAAGUAGCACAAACUUGGUUUGUUUUGCAAGAAACUUUGCACACAGCACUAUCUGGUAUAUAUUAUUAUGUUAAAGUGGUUAGAAUUAAACAUCAUCGUCAUAUGCUCAAAAUUACGUGUUAAGUUGCGAUUUUAUUGGUUUUUAAGCUUUUUUGGCACUUUCGCGCAUAAAGUAGCUCAAACUUGGUUUUUUUUCCACGAAACUUUGCACACAAUACUAAUUAGUUUAUAUAUUAUUGUGUUGAAGAGGUUAGAGUUGAAAAUCAUCGUCAUAUGCUAGAAAUUACGUGUUAAGUUGCGAUUUUAUGGGUUUUUAAGCUUUUUUGGCACUUUCGCGCAUAAAGUAGAUCAAACUUGUUUUGUUUUGCAAGAAACAUUGCACACAACACUAUUUGGUAUAUAUUAUUGUGUUGAAGUGGUUAGAAUUGAAAAUAAUUGUCAUAUGCUAGAAAUUACGUGUUAAGUUGCGAUUUUAUGGAUUUUUAAAGUUUUUUGGCACAUUCGCGCAUAAAGUAGCUCAAACAUGAUUUGUUUUGCACGAAACAUUGCACACUAAACUAUUUGGUAUAUACUAUUGUGUUGAAGUGGUUAGAAUUGAAAAUAAUAGUCAUAUGCUAGAAAUUACGUGUUAAGUUGCGAUUUUAUGCAUUAUUUAUGCUUUUUUCGCACUUUCGCCCAUAAAGUAACUCAAACUUGAUUUGUUUUGCAUGAAACAUGGCACACAACACUAUUUGGUAUAUAUUAUUGUGUUGAAGUUUUUAGAAUUGAAAAUACUAGUCAUAUGCUAGAAAUUACGUGUUAAGUUGCGAUUUUAUUGGUUUUUAAGCUUUUUUGGCACUUUCGCGCAUAAAGUAGCACAAACUUGGUUUGUUUUGCACGAAACUUAGCACACAAUACUAUUUGGUAUAUAUAUUAUUGUGUUGAAGUGGUUAGAAUUGAAAAUAAUAGUCAUAUGCUAGAAAUUACAUGUUAAGUUGUGAUUUUAUGGGUUUUUAAGCUUUUUUGGCACUUUCGCGCAUAAAGGAGCUUAAUCUGGAUUUGUUUUGCAUGAAACAUGGCACACAACACUAUUUGGUAUAUAUUAUUGUGUUGAAGUUGUUAGAAUUGAAAAUAAUAGUCAUAUGCUAGAAAUUACGUGUUAAUUUGCGAUUUGAUGGGUUUAUAAACUUUUUUGGCACUUUCGCGCAAAAAGUAGCUCAAACUUGGGGUGUUUUGCACAAAACUUUGCACACAACACUAUUUGGUAUAUAUUAUUGUGUUGAAGUGGUUAGAAUUGAAAAUAAUAGUUAUAUUCUAGAAAUAACGUGUUAAGUUGUGAUUUUAUGGGUUUUUAAGCUUGUUUGGAACUUUCGCGCAUAAAGUAGCUCAAGCUUCGUUUGUUUUGCACGAAACAUUGCACAUAACACUGUUUGGUAUAUAUUAUUUUGUUGAAGUGGUUAGAAUUGAAAAUAAUAGCCAUAUGCUAAAAAUUACGUGUUAAGUUGCCAUUGUAUGGGUUGUUAAACUUUUUUGGCACUUUCGCGCAUAAAGAGCUCAAACAUGAUUUGUUUGGCACGAAACUUGGCACACAACACUGUAUGGUAUAUAUUAUUGUGUUGAAGUGGUUAGAAUUGAAAAUAAUAGUUAUAUUCUAGAAAUAACGUGUUAAGUUGUGAUUUUAUGGGUUUUUCAGCUUUUUUGGAACUUUCGCGAAUAAAGUAGCUCAAACGUGGUUUGUUUUGCACGAAACUUGGCCACAACACUGUAUGGUAUAUGUUAUUGUGUUGAAGUGGUUAGAAUUGAAAAUAAUAGUCAUAUGCUAGAAAUUGUAGCGAUUUUAUGGGUUUUUAAGCUUUUUUGGCACUUUCGCGCAUAAAGUAGCUUAAACUUGGUUUGUUUUGCACGAAACAUUGCACACAAUACUAAUUGGUAUAUAUUAUUGUGUUGAAGUGGUUAGAAUUGAAAAUCAACGUCAUAUGCUAGAGAUUACGUGUUAAGUUGCGAUUUUAUGGGUUUUUAAGAUUUUUUGGCACUUUUACGCAUAAUGUAGCUCAAACUCGAUUUGUAUUGCAAGAACUUUUGCACACAACAUUAUUUGGUGUAUAUUAUUGUGUAGUGGUUAGAAUUGAAAAUAAUAGUCAUAUGCUAGAAAUUACGUGUUAAGUUGGGAUUUUAUGCAUUUUUUAUGCUUUAUUGGCACUUUCGCGCUUAAAGUAGCUCAAACUUGAUUUGUUUUGCAUGAAACAUGGCACACAACACUAUUUGGUAUAUAUUAUUGUGUUGAAGUUGCUAGAAUUGAAAAUAAUAGCCAUAUGCUAGAAAUUACGUGUUAAGUUGCGAUUUUAUGGGUUUUUAAGCUUUUUUGGCACUUUCGCGCAUAAAGUAGAUCAAACUUGGUUUGUUUUGCAAGAAACUUUGCACACAACAGUAUUGGGUAUAUAUUAUUGUGUUGAAGUGGUUAGAAUUAAAAAUAAUAGUCAUAUACUAGAAAUUACGUGUUAAGUUGUGAUUUUAUCGGUUUAAAAACUUUUUUGGCACUUUCGCGGAUAAAGUAGCUCCAACAUGAUUUGUUUUGCACGAAACUUUGCACACAAAACUAUUUGGUAUAUAAUAUUGUGUUGAAGUGGUUAGAAUUGAAAAUCAUCGUCAUAUGCUAGAAAUUACGUGUUAAGUUGCGAUUUUAUGGGUUUUUAAGUUUUUUGGCACUUUCGCGCAUAAAGUAGCUCAAACUUGGUACUUUUUGCACGAAAAUUUGCACACAACACUAUUAGGUAUAUAUUAUUGUGUUGAAAUGGUCAAAAUUGAAAAUCAUCGUCGUAUGCUAGAGAAUACGUGUUAUGUUGCGAUUUUAUGGGUUUUUAAGAUUUUUUGGCACUUUUGCGCAUAAUGUAGCUCAAACUCAGUUUGUUUUUCACGAACUUUGGCACACAACACUAUUUGGUGUACAUUAUUGAGUAGUGGUUAGAAUUAAAAAUAAUAGUCAUAUUCUAGAAAUUACGUGUUAAGUUGCGAUUUUAUGCAUUUUUUAAGCCUUUUUGGCACCUUCGCGCAUAAAGUAGCUCAAAUUUGAUUUGUUUUGCAUGAAACAUGGCACACAACACUAUUUGGUAUAUAUUAUUGUGUUGAAGUUGUUACAAUUGAAAAUAAUAGUCAUAUGAUAGAAAUUACGUGUUAAGUUGCGUUUUUCUGGGUUUUUAAACUUUUUUGGCACUUUCGCGCAUAAAGUAGCUCAAACAUGAUUUGUUUUCCAUGAAACUUUGCACACAAGACUAUUUGGUAUAUACUAUUGUGUUGAAGUGGUUAGAAUUGAAAAUCAUCGUCACAUGCUAGAAAUUACGUGUUAAGUUGCGAUUUUAUGGGUUUUAAAGCUUUUUUGGCACUUUCGCGCAUAAAGUAGCUCAAACUUGGUACUUUUUGCACGAAACUUUGCACACAACACUAUUUGGUAUAUAUUAUUGUGUUGAAGUGGUUAGAAUUGAAAAUCAUCGUCAUAUGCUAGAGAUUACAUGUUAUGUUGCGAUUUUAUGGGUUUUUAAGCUUUUUUCGCACUUUUGCGCAUAAUGUAGCUCAAACUUGGUUUGUUUUGCACGAAACUUGGCACACAACACUAUUUGGUGUAUAUUAUUAUGUAGUGGUUAGAAUUGAAAAUAAUAGUCAUAUGCUAGAAAUUACGUGUUAAGUUGCGAUUUUAUGCAUUAUUUAAGCUUUUUUGGCACCUUCGCGCAUAGAGUAGCUCAAACUUGAUUUGUUUUGCACGAAACUUAGCACACAACACUAUUUGGUAUAUAUUAUUGUGUUGAAGUGAUUAGAAUUGAAAAUAAUACUCAUACGCUAGGAAUCACGUUUUAAGUUGCGAUUUUAUGGGUUUUUAAGCUUUUUUGGCACUUUCGCGCAUAAAGUAGCACAAACUUGGUUUGUUUUGCACGAAACUUAGCACACAACACUAUUUGGUAUAUAUUAUUGUGUUGAAGUGGUUAGAAUUGAAAAUAAUAGUCAUAUGCUUUAAAUUACAUGUUACGUUGCGAUAUUUUGGGUUUUUAAGCUUUUUUGGCACUUUCGCGCUUAAAGGAGUUCAAUCUUGAUUUGUUUUGCAUGAAACAUGGCACACAACACUAUUUGGUAUAUAUUAUUGUGUUGAAGGUAUUAGAAUUGAAAAUAAUAGUCAUAUGUUAGAAAUUACGUGUUAAGUUGCGAUUUUAUGGGUUUAUAAACUUUUUUGGCACUUUCGCGCAAAAAGUAGCUCAAACUUGGGGUAUUUGGUAUAUAUUCUUUUGUUGAAGUGGUUAGAAUUGAAAAUCAUCGUCAUAUGCUAGAACUUACGUGCUAAGUUGCGAUUUUUUGUGUUUUUAAGCUUCUUUGGCACUUUCGCGCAUAAUGUAGCUCAAACUUGGUUUGUUUUGCAUGAAACUUGGCACACAACACUAUAUGGUAUAUAUUAUUGUGUUGAAGUGGUUAGAAUUGAAAAUAAUAGUCAUAUGCUAGAAAAAGUAGCGAUUUUAUGGGUUUUUAAGCUUUUUUGGUACUUUCGCGCAUAAAGUAGAUCAAACUUGAAUUUUUUGCAAGAAACUUUGCACACAACAUUAUUUGGCAAAUAUUAUUGUCGUGAAGGGGUUAGAAUUGAAAAUAAUAGUCAUAUGCUAGAAAUUACGUGUUAAUUUGCGAUUUUAAGGGUUUUUAAACUUUUUUGGCACUUUCGCGCAUAAAGUAGCUCAAACAGGAUUUGUUUUGCACGAAACUUUGCACACAAAACUAUUUGGUAUAUACUAUUGUGUUGAAGUUGUUAGAAUUGAAAAUCAUCGUCAUAUGCUAGAAAUUACGUAUUAAGUUGCGAUUUUACGGGUUUUUAAGCUUUUUUGGCACUUUCGCGCAAAAAGUAGCUCAAACUUGGUUUGUUUUGCACGAAACUUUGCACACAACACUAUUUGGUAUAUAUUAUUGUGUUGAAGUGGUUACAAUUGAAAAUCAUUGUCAUAUGCUAGAGAUUACGUGUUAAGUUGCGAUUUUAUAGGUUUUUAAACUUUUUUGGCACUUUUGCGCAUAAUGUAGCACAAACUUGAUUUGUUUUGCAUGAAACAUGGCACACAACACUAUUCGGUAUAUAUUAUUGUGUUGAUGUUGUUAGAAUUGAAAAUAAUAGUCAUAUGCUACAAAUUACGUGUUAAGUUGCGAUGUUGUGGGUUUAUAAACUUUUUUGGCACUUUCGCGCAUAAAGUAGCACAAACUUGGUUUGUUUUACACGAAACUUGGCACUCUACACUAUUUGGUAUAUAUUAUUGUGUUGAAGUGGUUAAAAUUGAAAAUAAUAGUUAUAUUCUAGAAAUAACGUGUUAAGUUGUGAUUUUAUGGGUUUUUAAGCUUUUUUGUAACUUUCACGCAUAAAGUAGCUCAAACUUCGUUUGUUUUGCACGAAACAUUGCACAUAACACUAUUUGGUAUAUAUUAUUUUGUUGAAGUGGUUAGAAUUGAAAAUCAUCGUCAUAUGCUAUAAAUUACAUGUUACGUUGCGAUAUUUUGGGUUUUUAAGCUUUUUUGGCACUUUCGCGCUUAAAGGAGCUCAAUCUUGAUUUGUUUUGCAUGAAACAUGGCACACAACACUAUUUGGUAUAUAUUAUUGUGUUGAAGGUAUUAGAAUUGAAAAUAAUAGUCAUAUGUUAGAAAUUACGUGUUAAGUUGCGAUUUUAUGGGUUUAUAAACUUUUUUGGCACUUUCGCGCAAAAAGUAGCUCAAACUUGGGGUAUUUGGUAUAUAUUCUUUUGUUGAAGUGGUUAGAAUUGAAAAUCAUCGUCAUAUGCUAGAACUUACGUGCUAAGUUGCGAUUUUUUGUGUUUUUAAGCUUCUUUGGCACUUUCGCGCAUAAUGUAGCUCAAACUUGGUUUGUUUUGCAUGAAACUUGGCACACAACACUAUAUGGUAUAUAUUAUUGUGUUGAAGUGGUUAGAAUUGAAAAUAAUAGUCAUAUGCUAGAAAAAGUAGCGAUUUUAUGGGUUUUUAAGCUUUUUUGGUACUUUCGCGCAUAAAGUAGAUCAAACUUGAAUUUUUUGCAAGAAACUUUGCACACAACAUUAUUUGGCAAAUAUUAUUGUCGUGAAGGGGUUAGAAUUGAAAAUAAUAGUCAUAUGCUAGAAAUUACGUGUUAAUUUGCGAUUUUAAGGGUUUUUAAACUUUUUUGGCACUUUCGCGCAUAAAGUAGCUCAAACAGGAUUUGUUUUGCACGAAACUUUGCACACAAAACUAUUUGGUAUAUACUAUUGUGUUGAAGUUGUUAGAAUUGAAAAUCAUCGUCAUAUGCUAGAAAUUACGUAUUAAGUUGCGAUUUUACGGGUUUUAAAGCUUUUUUGGCACUUUCGCGCAAAAAGUAGCUCAAACUUGGUUUGUUUUGCACGAAACUUUGCACACAACACUAUUUGGUAUAUAUUAUUGUGUUGAAGUGGUUACAAUUGAAAAUCAUUGUCAUAUGCUAGAGAUUACGUGUUAAGUUGCGAUUUUAUAGGUUUUUAAACUUUUUUGGCACUUUUGCGCAUAAUGUAGCACAAACUUGAUUUGUUUUGCAUGAAACAUGGCACACAACACUAUUCGGUAUAUAUUAUUGUGUUGAUGUUGUUAGAAUUGAAAAUAAUAGUCAUAUGCUACAAAUUACGUGUUAAGUUGCGAUGUUGUGGGUUUAUAAACUUUUUUGGCACUUUCGCGCAUAAAGUAGCACAAACUUGGUUUGUUUUACACGAAACUUGGCACUCUACACUAUUUGGUAUAUAUUAUUGUGUUGAAGUGGUUAAAAUUGAAAAUAAUAGUUAUAUUCUAGAAAUAACGUGUUAAGUUGUGAUUUUAUGGGUUUUAAAGCUUUUUUGUAACUUUCACGCAUAAAGUAGCUCAAACUUCGUUUGUUUUGCACGAAACAUUGCACAUAACACUAUUUGGUAUAUAUUAUUUUGUUGAAGUGGUUAGAAUUGAAAAUCAUCGUCAUAUGCUAGAACUUACGUGCUAAGUUGUGAUUUUUUGGGUUUUUAAGCUUACUUGGCACUUUCGCGCAUAAAGUAGCUCAAAUUUGGUUUAUUUUGCACGAAACUUGGCACACAACACUGUAAGGUAUAUAUUAUUGUGUUGAAGUGGUUAGAAUUGAAAAUGUUAGUCAUAUGCUAGAAAUAGUAGCGAUUUUAUGGGUUUUUAAGCUUUUAUGGCACUUUCGCGCAUAAAGUAGCUCAAACUUGGUUUGUUUUGCACGAAAUAUUGCACACAAUACAAAUUGGUAUAUAUUAUUUUGUUGAAGUGGUUAGAAUUGAAAAUCAUCGUCAUAUGCUAGAACUUACGUGCUAAGUUGCGAUUUUUUUGGGUUUUUAAGCUUCUUUGGCACUUUUGCGUAUAAAGUAGCUCAAACUUGGUUUGUUUUGCACGAAACUUGGCACACAACACUGUAUGGUAUAUAUUAUUGUGUUUAAGUGGUUAGAAUUAAAAAUAAUAGUCAUAUGCUAGAAAUAGUAGCAAUUUUAUGGAUUUUUAAGCUUUUUUGGCACUUUCGCGCAUAAAGUAGAUCAAACUUGGUUUGUUUUGCAAGAAACUUUGCACACAACACUAUUUGGUAUAUAUUAUUGUGUUGAAGUGGUUAGAAUUGAAAAUAAUAGUCAUAUGCUAGAAAUUACGUGUUAAGUUGCGAUUUUAUGGGUUUUUAAACUUUUUUGGCACUUUCGCGCACAAAGUAGCUCAAACAUGAUUUGUUUUGCACGAAGCUUUGCACGCAAAACUAUUUGGUAUAUACUAUUGUGUUGAAAUGGUUAGAAUUGAAAAUUAUCGUCAUAUGCUAGAAAUUACGUGUUAAGUUGCGAUUUUAUGGGUUUGUAAGCUUUUUUGGCACUUUCGCGCAUAAAGUAGCUCAAACUUGGUACUUUUUGCACGAAACUUUACACACAACACUAUUUGGUAUAUUUUAUUGUGUUGAAGUGGUUAGAAUUUAAAAUCAUCGUCACAUGCUAGAGAUUACGUGUUAAGUUGCGAUUUUAUGGGUUUUUAAGCUUUUUUGGCACUUUUGCGCAUAAUGUAGCUCAAACUUGGUUUGUUUUGCACGAAACAUGGCACACAACACUAUUUGGUGUAUAUCAUUAUGUAGUGGUUAGAAUUUAAAAUAAUAGACAAAUGCUAGAAAUUACGUGUUAAGUUGCGAUUUUAUGCAUUAUUUAAGCUUUUUUGGCACUUUCGCGCAUAAAGUAGCUCAAACUUAAUUUGUUUUGCAUGAAACAAGGCACACAACACUAAUUGGUGUAUAUUAUUGUGUUGAAGUUGUUAGAAUUGAAAUAAUAGUCAUAUGCUAGAAAUUACGUGUUAAGUUGCGAUUUUAUGGGUUUUUAAGCUUUUUUGGCACUUUCGCACAUAAAGUAGCUCAAACUUGGUUUGUUCUACACGAAACUUGGCACUCUACACUAUUUGGUAUAUCUUAUUGUGUUGAAGUGGUUAUAAUUGAAAAUAAUAGUUAUACUCUUGAAAUAACGUGUUAAGUUGUGAUAUUAUGGGUUUUUAUGCUUUUUUGGAACUUUCGCGCAUAAUGUAGCUCAAACUUUGUUUGUUUUGCACGAAACAUUGCACAUAACACUAUUUGGUAUAUAUUAUUUUGUUGAAGUGGUUAGAAUUGAAAAUCAUCGUCAUAUGCUAGAACUUACGUGCUAAGUUGCGAUUUUUUGUGUUUUUAAGUUUCUUUGGCACUUUCGCGCAUAAAGUAGCUCAAACUUGGUUUGUUUUGCACGAAACUUGGCACACAACACUAUAUGGUAUAUAUUAUUGUGUUGAAGUGGUUAGAAUUGAAAAUAAUAGUCAUAUGCUAGAAAAAGUAGCAAUUUUAUUGGUUUUUAAGCUAUUUUGGCACUUUCGCGCAUAAAGUAGCUCAAACUUGGUUUGUUUUGCAAGAAACUUUGCACACAACAUUAUUUGGUAUAUAUUAUUGUCGUGAAGGGGUUAGAAUUGUAAAUAAUAGUCAUAUGCUAGAAAUUACGUGUUAAUUUGCGAUUUUAAGGGUUUUUAAACUUUUUUGGCACUUUCGCGCAUAAAUUUGCUCAAACAUGAUUCGUUUUGCAAGAAACUUUGCACACAAAACUAUUUGGUAUAUACUAUUGUUUUGAAGUGGUUAGAAUUGAAAAUCAUCGUCAUAUGCUAGAAAUUACGUGUUAAGUUGCGAUUUUAUGGGUUUUUAAGCUUUUUUGGCACUUUCGCGCAUAAAGUAGCUCAAACUUGGUUUGUUUUGCACGAAACUUUGCACACAAUACUAAUUGGUAUAUAUUAUUGUGUUGAAGUGGUUAGAAUUGAAAAUAAUCAUCAUAUACUAGAGAUUACGUGUUAAUUUGCGAUUUUAUGGGUUUUUAAGCUUUUUUUGCAUUUUUGCGCAUAAUGUAGCUCAAACUUGGUUUGUUUUACACGAAACAUGGCAUAUAACACUAUUUUGUGUAUAUUAUUUUGUAGUGGUUAGAAUAGAAAAUAACAGUCAUAUGCUAGAAAUUUACUUGUUAUGUUGCGAUUUUAUGCAUUUUUAAAGCUCUUUUGGCACUUUCGCGCAUAAAGUAGCUCAAACUUUAUUUGUUUUGCAUGAAACAUGGCCCACAACACUAUUUGGUAUAUAUUAUUGUGUUGAAGUUGUUAGAAUUGAAAAUAAUAGUCAUAUGUUAUAAAUUACGUGUUAAGUUGCCAUUUUAUGGGUUUUUUAAGCUUUUUUGGCACUUUCGCGCAUAAAGUAGCUCAAACUUGAUUUGUUUUGCAUGAAACAUGGCACACAACACUAUUUGGUAUAUAUUAUAGUGUUGAAGUUGUUAGAAUUAAAAAUAAUAGUCAUAUACUACAAAUUACGUGUUAAGUUGAGAUUUUAUGGGUUUUUAAGCUUUUUUGGCACUUUCGCGCAUAAAGUAGUUCAAACUUGGUUUGUUUUGCACGAAACUUUGCACACAAUACUAAUUGGUAUAUAUUAUUGUGUUGAAGUGGUCAGAAUUGAAAAUCAUUGUCAUAUGCUAGAAAUUACGUUUUAAGCUGCGAUUUUAUGGGUUCUUAAGCUUUUUUGGCACUUUCGCGCAUAAAGUAGAUCAAACUUGGUUUGUUUUGCAAGAAACUUUGCACACAACACUAUUUGGUAUAUAUUAUUGUGUUGAAGUGGUUAGAAUUGAAAAUAAUAGUCAUAUGCUAGAAAUUACGUGUUAAGUUGUGAUUUUAUGGGUUUUUAAACUUUUUUGGCACUUUCGCGCAUAAAGUAUCUCAAACUUGGUACUUUUUGCACGAAACUUUGCACACAACACUAUUUGGUAUAUAUUAUUGUGUUGAAGUGGUUAGAAUUUAAAAUCGUCGUCAUAUGCUAGAGAUUACGUGUUAAGUUGCGAUUUUAUGGAUUUUAAGCUUUUUUGGCACUUUUGCGCAUAAUGUAGCUCAAACUUGGUUUAUUUUGCACGAAACUUGGCACACAACACUAUUUUGUGUAUAUUAUUAUGUAGUGGUUAGAAUUGAAAAUAAUAGUCAUAUGUUAGAAAUUACGUGUUAAGCUGCGAUUUUAGGCAUUUUUUAAGCUUUUUUUGCACUUUCGCGCAUAAAGUAGCACAAACUUGAUUUGUUUUGCAUGAAACAUGGCCCACAACACUAUUUGGUAUAUAUUAUUGUGUUGAAGUUGUUAGAAUUUUAAAUAAUAGUCAUAUGUUAGAAAUUACGUGUUAAGUUGCCAUUUUAUGGGUUUUUAAGCUUUUUUGGCACUUUCGCGCAUAAAGUAGCUCAAACUUGGUAAUUUUUGCACGAAAUUUUGCACACAACACUAUUUGGUAUAUAUUAUUGUGUUGAAGUGGUUAGAAUUUAAAAUCAUCGUCAUACGCUAGAGAUUACGUGUGAAGUUGCGAUUUUAUAGGUUUUUAAGCUUUUUUGGCACUUUUGGCGCAUAAUGUAGCUCAAACUUGGUUUGUUUUGCACGAAACUUGGCACACAACACUAUAUGGUAUAUAUUAUUGUGUUGUAGUGGUUAGAAUUGAAAAUAAUAGUCAUAUGCUAGAAAUUACGUGUUAAGUUGUGAUUUUAUGGGUUUUUAAGCUUUUUUGGCACUUUCGCGCAUAAAGUAGCUCAAACUUUAUUUGUUUUGCAUGAAACAUGGCCCACAACACUAUUUGGUAUAUAUUAUUGUGUUGAAGUUGUUAGAAUUGAAAAUAAUAUUCUUAUGCUAGAAAUUACGUGUUAUGUUGCGAUUUUAUGGGGUUUUAAGCUUUUUUGGCACUUUCGCGCAUAAAGUAGCUCAAACUUGGUUUGGUUUGCACGAAACUUAGCACACAACACUAUUUGGUAUAUAUUAUUGUUUUGAAGUGGUUAGAAUUGAAAAUAAUAGUCAUAUGUUAGAAAUUACGUGUUAAGUUGCCAUUUUAUGGGUUUUUAAGCUUUUUUGGCACUUUCGCGCAUAAAGUAGCUCAAACUUGAUUUGUUUUGCAUGAAACAUGGCACACAACACUAUUUGGUAUAUAUUAUAGUGUUGAAGUUGUUAGAAUUGAAAAUAAUAGUCAUAUACUACAAAAUACGUGUUAAGUUGAGAUUUUAUGGGUUUUUAAGCUUUUUUGGUAUUUUCGCGCAUAAAGUAGUUUAAACUUGGUUUGUUUUGCACGAAACUUUGCACACAAUACUAAUUGGUAUAUAUUAUUGUGUUGAAGUGGUUAGAAUUGAAAAUCAUCGUCAUAUGCUAGAAAUUACGUUUUAAGCUGCGAUUUUAUGGGUUUAUAAACUUUUUUGGCACUUUCGCGCAUAAAGUAGAUCAAACUUGGUUUGUUUUGCAAGAAACUUUGCACACAACACUAUUUGGUAUAUAUUAUUGUGUUGAAGUUGUUAGAAUUUAAAAUAAUGGUCAUAUGCUAGAAAUUACGUGUUACGUUGCGAUUUUAAGGGAUUUUAUGCUUUUUUGGCACUUUCGCGCAUAAAGUAGCUCAAACUUGGUUUGUUUUGCACGAAACUUAGCACACAACAAUAUUUGGUAUAUAUUAUUGUGUUGAAGUGGUAAGAAUUGAAAAUAAUAGUCAUAUGCUAGAAAUUUCGUGUUAUGUUGCGAUUUUAUGAGUUUUUAAGCUUUUUUGGCAUUUUCGCGCAUAAAGUUGCUCAAACUUGAUUUGUUUUGCAUGAAACAUGGCACACAACACUAUUUGGUAUAUAUUAUUGUGUUGAAGUCUUUAGAAUUGAAAAUAAUAGUCAUAUACUACAAAUUACGUGUUAAGUUGCGAUUUUAUGGGUUUUUAAGCUUUUUUGGCACUUUCGCGCAUAAAGUAGCUCAAACUUGGUACUUUUUGCACGAAACUUUGCACACAACACUAUUUGGUAUAUAUUAUUGUGUUGAAGUGGUUAGAAUUGAAAAUCAUCGUCAUAUGCUAGAGAUUACGUGUGAAGUUGCGAUUUUAUGCGUUUUUAAGCUUUUUUGGCACUUUUGGCGCAUAAUGUAGGUCAAACUUGGUUUUUUUUGCACGAAACAUGGCACACAACACUAUAUGGUAUAUAUUAUUGUGUUGCAGUGGUUAGAAUUGAAAAUAAUAGUCAUAAGCUAGAAAAAGUAGCGAUUUUAUGGGUUUUUAAGCUUUUUUGACACUUUCGCGCAUAAAGUAGCUCAAACUUGGUUUGUUUUGCACGAAACUUUGCACACAAUACUAAUUGGUAUAUAUUAUUGUGUUGAAGUGGUUUGAAUUGAAAAUCAUCGUCAUAUGCUAGAAAUUACGUUUUAAGCUGCGAUUUUAUGGGUUUUUAAGCUUUUUUGGCACUUUCGCGCAUAAAGUAGAUCAAAAAUGGUUUGUUUUGCAAGAAAAUUUGCACACAACACUAUUUGGUAUAUAUAUUACUGUGUUGAAGUGGUUAGAAUUGAAAAUAAUAAUCAUAUGCUAGAAAUUACGUGUUAAGUUGUGAUUUUAUGGGUUAUUAAACUUUUUUGGCACUUUCGCGCAUAAAGUAGCUCAAACUUGGUACUUUUUGCACGAAACAUUGCACACAACACUAUUUGGUAUAUAUUAUUGUGUUGAAGCGGUUAGAAUUGAAAAUCAUCGUCAUAUGCUAGAGAUUACGUGUUAAGUUGCGAUUUUAUAGAUUUUAAGCUUUUUUGGCACUUUUGCGCAUAAUGUAGCUCAAACUUGGUUUAUUUUGCACGAAACUUGGCACACAACACUAUUUUGUGUAUAUUAUUCUGUAGUGGUUAGAAUUGAAAAUAAUAGCCAUAUGCUAGAAAUUACGUGUUAAGUUGCAAUUUUAUGCAUUUUUAAAGCUUUUUUUGCACUUUCGCGCAUAAAGUAGCUCAAACUUGAUUUGUUUUGCAUGAAACAUGGCCCACAACACUAUUUGGUAUAUAUUAUUGUGUUGAAGUCGUUAGAAUUUAAAAUAAUAGUCAUAUGCUAGACAUUAUGUGUUACGUUGCGAUUUUAAGGGAUUUUAUGCUUUAUUGGCACUUUCGCGCAUAAAGUAGCUCAAACUUGAUUUGUUUUGCACGAAACUUAGCACACAACACUAUUUGGUAUAUAUUAUUGUGUUGAAGUGGUAAGAAUUGAAAAUAAUAGUCAUAUGCUAGAAAUUGCGUGUUAUGUUGCGAUUUUAUGAGUUUUUAAGCUUUUUUGGCACUUUCGCGCAUAAAGUUGCUCAAACUUGAUUUGUUUUGCAUGAAACAUGGCACACCACACUAUUUGGUAUAUAUUAUUGUGUUGAAGUCUUUAGAAUUGAAAAUAAUAGUCAUAUACUACAAAUUACGUGUUAAGUUGCAAUUUUAUGUGUUUUUAAGCUUUUUUGGCACUUUUGCUCAUAAAGUAGCUCAAACUUGGUACUUUUUGCACGAAACUUUGCACACAACACUAUUUGGUAUAUAUUAUUGUGUUGAAGUGGUUAGAAUUGAAAAUCAUCGUCAUAUGCUAGAGAUUACGUGUGAAGUUGCGAUUUUAUGGGUUUUUAAGCUUUUUGGCACUUUUGGCGCAUAAUAUAGGUCAAACUAGGUUUGUUUUGCACGAAACUUGGCACACAAUACUAUAUGGUAUAUAUUAUUGUGUUGCAGUGGUUAGAAUUGAAAAUAAUAGUCAUAUGCUAGAAAAAGUAGCGAUUUUAUGGGUUUUUAAGCUUUUUUGGUACUUUCGCGCAUAAAGUAGCUCAAACUUGGUUUGUUUUGCACGAAACUUUGCACACAAUACUAAUUGGUAUAUAUUAUUGUGUUGAAGUGGUUAGAAUUGAAAAUCAUCGUCAUAUGCUAGAAAUUACGUGUUAAGUUGCGAUUUUAUGGGUUUUUAAGCUUUUUUGUCACUUUCGCGCAUAAAGUAGAUCAAACUUGGUUUGUUUUCCAAGAAACUUAGCAAACAACACUAUUUGGUAUAUAUUAUUGUGUUGAAGUGGUUAGAAUUGAAAAUAAUAGUCAUAUGCAAGAAAUUACGUGUUAAGUUGUGAUUUUAUGGGUUUUUAAGCUUUUUUGGCACUUUUGGCGCAUAAUGUAGCUCAAACUUGGUUUGUUUUGCACGAAACUUGGCACACAAUACUAUAUGGUAUAUAUUAUUGUGUUGCAGUGGUUAGAAUUGAAAAUAAUAGUCAUAUGCUAGAAAAAGUAGCGAUUUUAUGGGUUUUUAAGGUUUUUUGGCACUUUCGCGCAUAAAGUAAGAACUUCGUUUGUUUUGCACGAAACUUUGCACACAAUACUAAUUGGUAUAUAUUAUUGUGUUGAAGUGGUUAGAAUUGAAAAUAAUCGUUAUAUGCUAGAAAUUACGUGUUAAGUUGCGAUUUUAUGGGUUUUUUAUGCUUUUUUGGCAAUUUCGCGCAUAAAGUAGAUCAAACUUGGUUUGUUUUGCAAGAAACUUUGCACACAACACUAUUUGGUAUAUAUUAUUGUGUUGAAGUGGUUAGAAUUGAAAAUAAUAGUCAUAUGCUAGAAAUUACGUGUUAAGUUGUGAUUUUAUGGGUUUUUAAGCUUUUUUGGCACUUUCGCGCAUAAAGUAGCUCAAACUUGGUACUUUUUGCACGAAACUUUGCACACAACACUAUUUGGUAUAUAUUAUUAUGUUGAAGUGGUUAGAAUUUAAAAUCAUCGUCAUAUGCUAGAGAUUACGUGUGAAGUUGCGAUUUUAUGGGUUUUUAAGCUUUUUUGGCACUUUUGGCGCAUAAUGUAGCUCAAACUUGGUUUGUUUUGCACGAAACAUGGCACACAACACUAUAUGGUUUAUAUUAUUGUGUUGCAGUGGUUAGAAUUGAAAAUAAUAGUCAUAUGCUAGAAAUUACAUGUUAAGUUGUGAUUUUAUGGGUUUUUAAGCUUUAUUGGCACUUUCGCGCAUAAAGUAGCUCAAACCUUGGAACU